AGAGAGAGGACGUCUCUGGGGUUGACGCGUCGGAAGCCGAAGCCGAUCAGAUCUUGGCCGAGAGAGAGAACGACCGGCGCUGACUGAAUUCAUGGUUGAAACGAAGGGAGAGAUGAGUACGGCCAACGCCGACUGAAUCACCGGAUUCCUGGCGAAGGAGCAGCGGCGACGGCGAUUUCGAUUUCAGGGAGAAUUAGGGCUCGAUUUUGAACUCUACGUGUAGAUUGAGGAAGAGAGAAGACGGCGCCAGGCUUAGACGCGUCGGCAGAAGACGCCGGCCGGAGCAGGCGGUGGCCGAACGAAAUCUCGGUGAGAGGAUAAGAGGCCGAUCGGCCGGCCUUGAGGAAGAGAGGGAGCGUCGGUUCUUUGAGGAAGAAGAGAGAGCCGAUUUUGAGAAGGGGGCGAGCAGCUCCUUGAGAUUAGAGUGAGAGACCGAGAAUUGGGUGUAGAAGGAAGAGAAUUGGUCUUUUUCUUGGGCCAUUCUUUUAUUUUGGAAUGGGCUCCUCUUUUGUUUGAUAUUGGGCUUCCUAUUUUAAUUGUUGGGCUCUUCUUUUAUUUAUUUUGGACUUCACAAUUUUAAUGGCUUGGGCUUCACAUCUAAAUUCGAAUUGGGCCUUU
rnacentral:lncRNA from 1 species